AGAUUCUAUAAAGAAGAGAAUGAUCUAACCUGAUGUACAUAUGACAUUAAUCCAAUAGACUUAGGAAUAAGAUACAGGGGGUUUUCCUGAAUGAUUCGAGUAUAUCCCCAUUCAUAUUAAGAAAACAAAGUAUUGGCCAAGCGUGGUGGCUCACGCCUGUAAUCCCGGCACUUUGGAAGGCCGAGGCCAGUGGAUCACCUGAGAUGGACUCAACGACUCUCUUACCGUCCAGCUCUCAAGUCCCUUCUCUUGUGAAAAUGGAAAAGUUGAACUACAGUUGAGAUAUUAUUCCCAGGUGUUCUUUGGAACACAGGGGAUUUCUCCAAAAGGCACAGAACAAAUUGCCUCCAAACAGCCAAGAUUCCAGCAGAAGCUGGAGUAGCAGACUACUUGGAUCUUCAAAGUACCUGGCCCUGAGUCAGUUAAGGAAGAUCUUUUCUUCUCUUUUGUACAAUCCUAUGAUGAGAGCUGCAAAGUGAACUGACUAAGAGCUUCUGCCUUGAUCAUUGACCUCCCAAUCCUAAUAAUAUGUUCACUGGCCAAACUUCCUAAUCGAUUUGUCUUUUGGAUAUAACGUUCCUCCUACUGUUUGCCUGAUUGAGAAAUCUGCUACAGAACAUGACCGGUUAGCAUUCCCACCAACCCCAGUGCUACACUGACUGUCUUUCGAUGGACUUUGCUCCUUGCUGCCUCUCUGAGGUCCCAGACCUUCAGAGUGACCUUCACAGCUCUGCCUAACUUUCUGUCAUACUUCUAUCAAGAGAGACAGCUAAAUCAAUAUUUUUAAUGUGCUUUGCUGUCGGAAUUCGAUGAUCUGUCACAGUUCUUGCCCAAUACACCCCAUCAUUAUUGUUAAAAUGUUUUUAGCUUUGUUUGUAGAAUUGCUUUAACUGGUUUCAUCUCUGGGAGCUACACUUUGAAAUAUAACUUUAGCAACAUUUUACUAUACUUUUUCACAACCCAGAGCAGUACUAUUUUAUGCUUAGUGGUUAAACUAAUUCCAUAAAUCUUUUGCAACUAUCCUCUAUUCUUUUUCUUGUAAUUUUUACCUGGGAAGGUUUUUACUGAUAAUCAUCCUAUCCUGAGUCAUCCCACAAACCAAUCUGUCUCACUAAUCAUUGCUUCUAACCUACAGACUAAGCAUAACUUCUGCUAAAUGAUCUUUGAUAAGAUGCUAUGACUCUAUAAAGUCUUUGAUAUUCAUGUCUAAAUUUAAUCACUUGUAGAUUUUCAUAGAAUCAAUCUUUCACUUCUACAAUUGGGAGUAUUUAUAAGUUGUUUAUCUUAAACAGUUCCUCUAUCACGCUUUUCACGUUAAAUAAAGCAAUCCCUUCAAAUCAAUUUUCUGUCAUGUCUAAGAUGU
rnacentral:lncRNA from 10 species